UACAGAGGUCUCAAGCGUUGUUCGGAUUCAUUGGGCGUAAAGGGUGCGUAGGCGGCGCGGUAAGUCGGGGUGUGAAAUCUUGGAGCUUAACUCCGAAACUGCAUUCGAUACUGCCGUGCUUGAGGACUGGAGAGGAGACUGGAAUUUACGGUGUAGCGGUGAAAUGCGUAGAUAUCGUAAGGGAAGACCAGUGGCGAAGGCGG
rnacentral:rRNA from 1 species